rnacentral:rRNA from 1 species
CAUCCUUGUGGGAUAGUGGCGCACGGGUGAGUAACACGUAGGCAACCUACCUCGAAGCGGGGGAUAACAUUCGGAAACGGAUGCUAAUACCGCAUAAGCUCACGGAUUGGGAUAUUGGUGAGAAAAGGAGCAAUUCACUUCGAGAUGGGCCUGCGGCCUAUCAGGUAGUUGGCGGGGUAACGGCCCACCAAGCCAAAGACGGGUAGCCGGUCUGAGAGGAUGAACGGCCACACUGGAACUGAGACACGGUCCAGACUCCUACGGGAGGCAGCAGUGGGGAAUUUUGCGCAAUGGGGGAAACCCUGACGCAGCGACGCCGCGUGGAGGACGAAGGCCUUCGGGUUGUAAACUCCUUUUACUAGGGAAAAUGAUGAUGGUACCUAGCGAAUAAGCCACGGCUAACUCUGUGCCAGCAGCCGCGGUAAGACAGAGGUGGCAAGCGUUGUUCGGAAUUACUGGGCUUAAAGGGCGCGUAGGCGGCAGGGUAAGUCUAAGGUGGAAUCUUGGGGCUCAACCCCAAAACUGCCUUGGAAACUGCUUUGCUUGAGUCAGUAAGGGGAGGGCGGAAUUCCCGGUGUAGCAGUGAAAUGCGUAGAUAUCGGGAGGAAGGCCGGUGGCGAAGGCGGCCCUCUGGUGCUUGACUGACGCUGAGGCGCGAAAGCGUGGGUAGCAAACAGGAUUAGAUACCCUGGUAGUCCACGCCCUAAACGGUGAGUAUUAGGUGUUGGGCCCGCGAGGGUUCAGUGCCGCAGGGAAACCAUUAAAUACUCCGCCUGGGGAGUACGGCCGCAAGGUUGAAACUCAAAGGAAUUGACGGGGGCCCGCACAAGAGGUGGAGCAUGUGGUUUAAUUCGACGCAACGCGAAGAACCUUACCUGGGUUUGACAUGCUGGUGGUAAAGAGCCGAAAGGCCGAUGACCCGUAGCAAUACGGGAGCCAGCACAGGUGCUGCAUGGCUGUCGUCAGCUCGUGCCGUGAGGUGUUGGGUUAAGUCCCGCAACGAGCGCAACCCCCAUCCUCUGUUGCCCAGCAAUGGGAUCUCUGAGGAAACUGCCGGCGACGAGCCGGAGGAAGGUGGGGACGACGUCAAGUCAUCAUGGCCCUUAUGUCCAGGGCUACACACGUGCUACAAUGGCGGAUACAGAGGGAUGCAAGACCGCGAGGUGGAGCCAAUCCCCAAAGUCUGUCUCAGUUGGGAUCGGAGUCUGCAACUCGACUCCGUGUACGUGGAAUCUCUAGUAAUCGCGGAUCAGCUAUGCCGCGGUGAAUACGUUCCCGGGCCUUGUACACACCGCCCGUCACACCACGAAAGUCUGUUGUACCCGAAGCCGGCGGGCUAACCGCAAGGAGGCAGCCGUCGAAGGUACGGCCGGUGAUUGGGGUGAAGUCGUAACAAGGUA